UACGAAGGGGACUAGCGUUGUUCGGAAUUACUGGGCGUAAAGCGUGCGCAGGCGGUUAUGCAAGACAGAUGUGAAAUCCCCGGGCUCAACCUGGGAACUGCAUUUGUGACUGCAUGGCUAGAGUGCGGCAGAGGGGGAUGGAAUUCCGCGUGUAGCAGUGAAAUGCGUAGAUAUGCGGAGGAACACCGAUGGCGAAGGCAAUCCCCUGGGCCUGCACUGACGCUCAUGCACGAAAGCGUGGGGAGCAAACAGG
rnacentral:rRNA from 1 species